AUUUACAACAAAUAUGGGGGGAAAACCUAAAAAAACAGAAAUAACAGAUAUGGGCACAGUAAGUCCCCUACAUAUGAACCUUCAAGUUGAGAACUUUCAAAGAUGUGAACGUGCAUUCACAUGUCCAAUCACACAAGUUAGUUCAUGUGUUUGGUGUACAUUGUCACUUGCACCCUCUACAAGUGGCUGUGUUUUGUGUGCAUCCUCUACAAGUGGUUGUGCUUUUGUGUACUCUACUGUACAGUACUGUCUAGAGUACAGUAGUAUGGCAUCUUUAUUUCAAGCCCAGGAUGUCCGGAAGCAAGCAUAAAAGCAACAGUGAUGUAGCUGGUACUGCAGAUGGAAACUAAAG